rnacentral:rRNA from 1 species
UACGUAGGGGGCAAGCGUUGUCCGGAUUUAUUGGGCGUAAAGAGCUCGUAGGCGGCUCGGUAAGUCGGAUGUGAAACCUCCAGGCUCAACCUGGAGACGCCAUCUGAUACUGCCGUGGCUUGAGUCCGGUAGAGGGGCAGGGAAUUCCUGGUGUAGCGGUGAAAUGCGCAGAUAUCAGGAGGAACACCAGCGGCGAAGGCGCUGCUCUGGGCCGGUACUGACGCUGAGGAGCGAAAGCGUGGGGAGCGAACAGG